CCUACGGGCGGCAGCAGUGGGGAAUAUUGGACAAUGGGCGAAAGCCUGAUCCAGCCAUGCCGCGUGUGUGAAGAAGGCCUUCGGGUUGUAAAGCACUUUCAGUGGGGAAGAAAGCCUUGGGGCUAAUACCCUCGAGGAAGGACAUCACCCACAGAAGAAGCACCGGCUAACUCCGUGCCAGCAGCCGCGGUAAUACGGAGGGUGCGAGCGUUAAUCGGAAUUACUGGGCGUAAAGCGCGCGUAGGCGGUCUGAUAAGCCGGUUGUGAAAGCCCCGGGCUCAACCUGGGAACGGCAUCCGGAACUGUCAGGCUAGAGUGCAGGAGAGGAAGGUAGAAUUCCCGGUGUAGCGGUGAUAUGCGUAGAGAUCGGGAGGAAUACCAGUGGCGAAGGCGGCCUUCUGGACUGACACUGACGCUGAGGUGCGAAAGCGUGGGUAGCAAACAGGAUUAGAUACCCGAGUAGUC
rnacentral:rRNA from 1 species